GUGAACGCUGGCGGCAGGCCUAACACAUGCAAGUCGAGCGGCAGCGGGUCCUUCGGGAUGCCGGCGAGCGGCGGACGGGUGAGGAAUGCGUCGGAAUCUGCCUUUUUGUGGGGGAUAACGUAGGGAAACUUACGCUAAUACCGCAUACGACCUACGGGUGAAAGUGGGGGACCGCAAGGCCUCACGCAGAAAGAUGAGCCGACGCCGGAUUAGCUAGUUGGCGGGGUAAAGGCCCACCAAGGCGACGAUCCGUAGCUGGUCUGAGAGGAUGAUCAGCCACACUGGAACUGAGACACGGUCCAGACUCCUACGGGAGGCAGCAGUGGGGAAUAUUGGACAAUGGGCGCAAGCCUGAUCCAGCCAUGCCGCGUGAGUGAAGAAGGCCUUCGGGUUGUAAAGCUCUUUUGUUGGGGAAGAAAAGCAUCCGAUUAAUACCCGGGUGUUCUGACGGUACCCAAAGAAUAAGCACCGGCUAACUUCGU
rnacentral:rRNA from 1 species